UCGAGCUACUCAAGGUUCUGAUGCUGGCCGCCAUCGUCACUUGCUGGGGUGGGAACUGCUACCACUUCAACUGCCCUUCGUCCUCUCCGUCGUAGGUAUACGCCGCCUUUCUCUUCCUCUUGCUCGGUUGACUUCUUUUUCAACCUCUGGUGUGGUGCCAGUAUGUGUUUGCUUCCAGUGUGGGUGUCGACGGAAGGUAGGAGGCCAGCCCCACCACCUCUGUUUCUUCUCAUAUGCCCUGCGGGCUGUUUUGGAUUCGGUCCGGGUGAAGUGGGUGUUGAUGUGGGCUAGGAUAGGAACGGCAACGUUGAUUCUUGCUUGAACAAGAUGGUCGCUCUCCAUCGCGGAUAGAGGAUGCCAAGGUGAACUCCGUGCUAUGCCUACUUAUGUAUCUUUGUACGGCGGUAUGCUAACUGUUUGGUCCAUCGACUAAUCGGUGUGCAUGCCAGUUUUUUAAUGUAGUAUAUCAAAUAUUUUUUACCCGUGACCAUUGUAUUGGUUCAGGUGUUCAGUGUUAACAUUCAGCUGUUGGGUUGCUAUCCGAGAAUUCAGAACAAGAAGAAGGCAGAAGUUCAUGUUGAUUAACAUGACAAGACGGUGAAUAUACCCGGUAAAUGCUCCAAAGCAUUAGCCUUCGAUGGAGCCGGCAAAGAAUCUUUGCAAAUGUUACAAAGAAAAAAACAUAGUAGUGAUAUUACCAGAUGGCACAUAUAGUUUUCCACUUGCAGAAGCAGCCACGUUACUGACUAUGUUUAGCCAACUGCAGAUCAAGUAUUACUUCCUGUUAAAAAAAAAAGUAUUACUUACAAUUCCGAAGUGGUGUAUGUAUAUUAAGAUUUGUACAUGACUGCUCAUUUUGGAACCUUUCUUCAUGUAAGCACCAGGUUUGUUGAACUUUACACCUUUUUGGUUUGAUUAAAUUGAUAGAAACUUGAUGUUGUCAUCACUUCCUUUGGUGCAUGGUUUCAGGAGAUAAACACAUCCAGCUGUUUCAUUUGAACUUCAUUUGUUUGAUUAAAAAAAUGAGAAAUGAUAUGUUAUACAUUGGGUCUCAGAUUUAAAUUUGCUUUGGAAUACAAAUGUGUGAUUUAUUUGAUCAUGGUUGUUAUUCUUCUAACAGGUUACAAUCACAUGGCCAGUGACAUGUGCAAUAAGCGGUAGUUUUGGGCUUCUUUUCUUGUGAGUGCCAGCAUUACAAGGGGCCCUAAUCCAGCCAAAGGAUCAGCAGAAUUGGUUGUCUAAUUCAUGAACAUUUGUCAGAGACAUGGUUAAGAAUUAGAAAUGUAUGCUGGAGUGAGCGGAAACCACAGAUUGUUAUGGAAGCAAAGAGGCAGUCAAAAGAACUGGGGUGUAGACAAAGUUGACGUCUUGCAACAGUUUUGUUGGAGGACUUGACUCAAAGGAGUAUAUUCAGACUGGAUUCUUACCGGCUACAUGGCGUUUUGGCACCGUUAUCAGUACAUGGCAGAGCAAUGCUUUGCAUCUACUGGUUAUUGAGAAAUCCGAAGUUCUGACUUCUUCACUCUAGCAUUAUAUCUUUUAUUUGUCUCACCAUCUAGAACUUUUUCUUUGGAAAUGAAAGCUUAAUACGUUGAUUACUCUAUA